UGCCCAACAACUCCUAUCCCUACCUCCACGCGGUACCGGCCGGAAACUAUGAGCAACCUUAGGGAAGAUCGGGUAACCAACCCCGGUGGGAACUUUGGUCGUAGGCUGACAGGGAAGG
rfam:Aedes albopictus isolate Foshan contig127283, whole genome shotgun sequence.